CCCUUAGAUGUCCGGGGCCGCACGCGCGCUACACUGAAGGAAUCAGCGUGGCUUUCUCCCUGACCCGAAAGGGUUGGGAAACCCGUUGAAUCUCCUUCGUGAUAGGGAUUGGGGCUUGAAAUUGUUCCCCAUGAACGAGGAAUUCCCAGUAAGCGCGAGUCAUAAGCUCGCGUUGAUUACGUCCCUGCCCUUUGUACACACCGCCCGUCGCUACUACCGAUUGAAUGGUUUAGUGAGAUCCUUGGAUCGGCCCUGUCGCGGCUGGCAACGGCCGCGUCGGCGCGUCGAGAAGACGAUCAAACUUGAUCAUUUAGAGGAAGUAAAAGUCGUAACA
rnacentral:rRNA from 1 species